rnacentral:rRNA from 1 species
AGUGAACGCUGGCGGUAGGCCUAACACAUGCAAGUCGAACGGCAGCACAGUAAGAGCUUGCUCUUACGGGUGGCGAGUGGCGGACGGGUGAGGAAUACAUCGGAAUCUACUUUUUCGUGGGGGAUAACGUAGGGAAACUUACGCUAAUACCGCAUACGACCUACGGGUGAAAGCAGGGGAUCUUCGGACCUUGCGCGAUUGAAUGAGCCGAUGUCGGAUUAGCUAGUUGGCGGGGUAAAGGCCCACCAAGGCGACGAUCCGUAGCUGGUCUGAGAGGAUGAUCAGCCACACUGGAACUGAGGCACGGUCCAGACUCCUACGGGAGGCAGCAGUGGGGAAUAUUGGACAAAGGGCGCAAGCCUGAUCCAGCCAUGCCGCGUGGGUGAAGAAGGCCUUCGGGUUGUAAAGCCCUUUUGUUGGGGAAGAAAAGCAGCAGGUUAAUACCCCGCUGUUCGGACGGUACCCAAAGAAUAAGCACCGGCUAACUUCGUG